AACGUUAUCGUCCUUUGUUCCAGGUAAGAGCUGCCCUAUUGGUGCAACAAUUUCUGCGAAUGAUCAGCCGCAGCGAAAUAUUAUCAUUACAAUUGACAAGUAAGCAAGCGAGUACUUACACUGCACGGCGACGUCAUAUGAAAUCUAUAAGAGGAUUGCACGACAUUAAAGUAAAUUGACAACAUGUAUUUUUCUCUCAUCAUCGUCGUCGGUGAGUCGACACAACAUCUUCACACUUCGAUGCAUUUCACACCUUUGUAUAGUAAUGCCGAUAUACUACGUCUUUAAAAUAUUUGUAUCCGCGUUGUUUGUUCCUGGCAAGGAUUUAAUUCAACUUAUAAUUAAUCAUUAUUCAUAACAUAAAUGCUGUAACAUGUGAGUGAUUUAGUCGCUUGAAACAUUUAAUUUCACUAUUUGGAUAAUGGUUGCUAGUUCAUUAGACUUAAAUCUUCCUCGCCAGCUUUGUCUACGACUUGAUGUGAAACAAUUCACAGCCUUCCAUCCGACCCACCAGCGGUCCCUCAUUAGACCCUUUGUGUGGCAGAUUGACCAUGGACAAUGCCCGCUAAUUGAACAUUCAGCGUCGUUGCAGGAUCUGUUGUGUUCACGUCAAAAUGUUCAACGUGAAAGUUAUUCUUAUUAUUUACGUUGGUUAUUGUCUAAUCUCUACUGUCCUUCUAAUUAAACUUAUCAGGUUCUUCAAAUACAAAUGUCGUAAGAUGAAGACAGGUAUUUUCUAUUUCGAAUGCCAUGUAAUAUUUAUCGAUUACAUAUUUAUUAAUUGACAUACAGCUAGGUUAUAAUUUUUAACAUUUGUCAUUUGUCUACACUGGAUUAGUAACUAGAAAGUUCCUAAUUAAAAGUAUACUACGCCAACUGGAUAUAAGUUAGAUUUGUUGUAUCAGCUUUUUCAAGGAAUCUAUUAAUACUGUGUUAUGACACAGUGACCCAGCCCUCGCCAUUCAAUCUAAACUUAAUCGCUUCAUGUUUAUGUCUGACGUUAUAGUUCUUAUGACUGUUGUGUCAAUCGUGAUUUAACCGUAGGUUCAAGUUAAAGGACUAG